GAUGAACGCUGGCGGCGUGCCUAAUACAUGCAAGUCGAGCGAACAGACGAGGAGCUUGCUCCUCUGACGUUAGCGGCGGACGGGUGAGUAACAUGUGGAUAACCUACCUAUAAGACUGGGAUAACUUCGGGAAACCGGAGCUAAUACCGGAUAAUAUAUUGAACCGCAUGGUUCAAUAGUGAAAGACGGUUUUGCUGUCACUUAUAGAUGGAUCCGCGCCGCAUUAGCUAGUUGGUAAGGUAACGGCUUACCAAGGCAACGAUGCGUAGCCGACCUGAGAGGGUGAUCGGCCACACGGGAACUGAGACACGGUCCAGACUCCUACGGGAGGCAGCAGUAGGGAAUCUUCCGCAAUGGGCGAAGGCCUGACGGAGCAACGCCGCGUGAGUGAUGAAGGUCUUCGGAUCGUAAAACUCUGUUAUUAGGGAAGAACAAAUGUGUAAGUAACUAUGCACGUCUUGACGGUACCUAAUCAGAAAGCCACGGCUAACUACGUG
rnacentral:rRNA from 1 species